AUUAACGGCAUGAUCCUUGUAGGAC
rnacentral:piRNA from 1 species